rnacentral:rRNA from 1 species
GCUUGCUUCUCUUGAGAGCGGCGGACGGGUGAGUAAUGCCUAGGAAUCUGCCUGGUAGUGGGGGAUAACGUUCGGAAACGGACGCUAAUACCGCAUACGUCCUACGGGAGAAAGCAGGGGACCUUCGGGCCUUGCGUUAUCAGAUGAGCCUAGGUCGGAUUAGCUAGUUGGUGAGGUAAUGGCUCACCAAGGCGACGAUCCGUAACUGGUCUGAGAGGAUGAUCAGUCACACUGGAACUGAGACACGGUCCAGACUCCUACGGGAGGCAGCAGUGGGGAAUAUUGGACAAUGGGCGAAAGCCUGAUCCAGCCAUGCCGCGUGUGUGAAGAAGGUCUUCGGAUUGUAAAGCACUUUAAGUUGGGAGGAAGGGCAGUUACCUAAUACGUGAUUGUUUUGACGUUACCGACAGAAUAAGCACCGGCUAACUCUGUGCCAGCAGCCGCGGUAAUACAGAGGGUGCAAGCGUUAAUCGGAAUUACUGGGCGUAAAGCGCGCGUAGGUGGUUAGUUAAGUUGGAUGUGAAAUCCCCGGGCUCAACCUGGGAACUGCAUUCAAAACUGACUGACUAGAGUAUGGUAGAGGGUGGUGGAAUUUCCUGUGUA